rnacentral:rRNA from 1 species
GAUGAACGCUGGCGGCGUGCCUAAUACAUGCAAGUCGAGCGAACGGACGAGAAGCUUGCUUCUCUGAUGUUAGCGGCGGACGGGUGAGUAACACGUGGAUAACCUACCUAUAAGACUGGGAUAACUUCGGGAAACCGGAGCUAAUACCGGAUGAUAUUUUGAACCGCAUGGUUCAAAAGUGAAAGACGGUCUUGCUGUCACUUAUAGAUGGAUCCGCGCUGCAUUAGCUAGUUGGUAAGGUAACGGCUUACCAAGGCAACGAUGCAUAGCCGACCUGAGAGGGUGAUCGGCCACACUGGAACUGAGACACGCUCCAGACUCCUACGGGAGGCAGCAGUAGGGAAUCUUCCGCACUGGGCGCAAGCCUGACGGAGAAACGCCGCGUGAGUGAUGAAGGUCUUCGGAUCGUAAAACUCUGUUAUUAGGGAAGAACAUAUGUGUAAGUAACUGUGCACAUCUUGACGCUACCUCAUCAGAAAGCCACGGCUAACUACGUG